rnacentral:rRNA from 1 species
UUAAGCGACUAAGCGUACACGGUGGAUGCCCUGGCAGUCAGAGGCGAUGAAGGACGUGCUAAUCUGCGAUAAGCGUCGGUAAGGUGAUAUGAACCGUUAUAACCGGCGAUUUCCGAAUGGGGAAACCCAGUGUGUUUCGACACACUAUCAUUAACUGAAUCCAUAGGUUAAUGAGGCGAACCGGGGGAACUGAAACAUCUAAGUACCCCGAGGAAAAGAAAUCAACCGAGAUUCCCCCAGUAGCGGCGAGCGAACGGGGAGCAGCCCAGAGCCUGAAUCAGUGUGUGUGUUAGUGGAAGCGUCUGGAAAGGCGCGCGAUACAGGGUGACAGCCCCGUACACAAAAAUGCACAUGCUGUGAGCUCGAUGAGUAGGGCGGGACACGUGGUAUCCUGUCUGAAUAUGGGGGGACCAUCCUCCAAGGCUAAAUACUCCUGACUGACCGAUAGUGAACCAGUACCGUGAGGGAAAGGCGAAAAGAACCCCGGCGAGGGGAGUGAAAAAGAACCUGAAACCGUGUACGUACAAGCAGUGGGAGCACGCUUAGGCGUGUGACUGCGUACCUUUUGUAUAAUGGGUCAGCGACUUAUAUUCUGUAGCAAGGUUAACCGAAUAGGGGAGCCGAAGGGAAACCGAGUCUUAACUGGGCGUUAAGUUGCAGGGUAUAGACCCGAAACCCGGUGAUCUAGCCAUGGGCAGGUUGAAGGUUGGGUAACACUAACUGGAGGACCGAACCGACUAAUGUUGAAAAAUUAGCGGAUGACUUGUGGCUGGGGGUGAAAGGCCAAUCAAACCGGGAGAUAGCUGGUUCUCCCCGAAAGCUAUUUAGGUAGCGCCUCGUGAAUUCAUCUCCGGGGGUAGAGCACUGUUUCGGCAAGGGGGUCAUCCCGACUUACCAACCCGAUGCAAACUGCGAAUACCGGAGAAUGUUAUCACGGGAGACACACGGCGGGUGCUAACGUCCGUCGUGAAGAGGGAAACAACCCAGACCGCCAGCUAAGGUCCCAAAGUCAUGGUUAAGUGGGAAACGAUGUGGGAAGGCCCAGACAGCCAGGAUGUUGGCUUAGAAGCAGCCAUCAUUUAAAGAAAGCGUAAUAGCUCACUGGUCGAGUCGGCCUGCGCGGAAGAUGUAACGGGGCUAAACCAUGCACCGAAGCUGCGGCAGCGACGCUUAUGCGUUGUUGGGUAGGGGAGCGUUCUGUAAGCCUGCGAAGGUGUGCUGUGAGGCAUGCUGGAGGUAUCAGAAGUGCGAAUGCUGACAUAAGUAACGAUAAAGCGGGUGAAAAGCCCGCUCGCCGGAAGACCAAGGGUUCCUGUCCAACGUUAAUCGGGGCAGGGUGAGUCGACCCCUAAGGCGAGGCCGAAAGGCGUAGUCGAUGGGAAACAGGUUAAUAUUCCUGUACUUGGUGUUACUGCGAAGGGGGGACGGAGAAGGCUAUGUUGGCCGGGCGACGGUUGUCCCGGUUUAAGCGUGUAGGCUGGUUUUCCAGGCAAAUCCGGAAAAUCAAGGCUGAGGCGUGAUGACGAGGCACUACGGUGCUGAAGCAACAAAUGCCCUGCUUCCAGGAAAAGCCUCUAAGCAUCAGGUAACAUCAAAUCGUACCCCAAACCGACACAGGUGGUCAGGUAGAGAAUACCAAGGCGCUUGAGAGAACUCGGGUGAAGGAACUAGGCAAAAUGGUGCCGUAACUUCGGGAGAAGGCACGCUGAUAUGUAGGUGAAGUCCCUCGCGGAUGGAGCUGAAAUCAGUCGAAGAUACCAGCUGGCUGCAACUGUUUAUUAAAAACACAGCACUGUGCAAACACGAAAGUGGACGUAUACGGUGUGACGCCUGCCCGGUGCCGGAAGGUUAAUUGAUGGGGUUAGCCGCAAGGCGAAGCUCUUGAUCGAAGCCCCGGUAAACGGCGGCCGUAACUAUAACGGUCCUAAGGUAGCGAAAUUCCUUGUCGGGUAAGUUCCGACCUGCACGAAUGGCGUAAUGAUGGCCAGGCUGUCUCCACCCGAGACUCAGUGAAAUUGAACUCGCUGUGAAGAUGCAGUGUACCCGCGGCAAGACGGAAAGACCCCGUGAACCUUUACUAUAGCUUGACACUGAACAUUGAGCCUUGAUGUGUAGGAUAGGUGGGAGGCUUAGAAGUGUGGACGCCAGUCUGCAUGGAGCCGACCUUGAAAUACCACCCUUUAAUGUUUGAUGUUCUAACGUUGACCCGUAAUCCGGGUUGCGGACAGUGUCUGGUGGGUAGUUUGACUGGGGCGGUCUCCUCCUAAAGAGUAACGGAGGAGCACGAAGGUUGGCUAAUCCUGGUCGGACAUCAGGAGGUUAGUGCAAUGGCAUAAGCCAGCUUGACUGCGAGCGUGACGGCGCGAGCAGGUGCGAAAGCAGGUCAUAGUGAUCCGGUGGUUCUGAAUGGAAGGGCCAUCGCUCAACGGAUAAAAGGUACUCCGGGGAUAACAGGCUGAUACCGCCCAAGAGUUCAUAUCGACGGCGGUGUUUGGCACCUCGAUGUCGGCUCAUCACAUCCUGGGGCUGAAGUAGGUCCCAAGGGUAUGGCUGUUCGCCAUUUAAAGUGGUACGCGAGCUGGGUUUAGAACGUCGUGAGACAGUUCGGUCCCUAUCUGCCGUGGGCGCUGGAGAACUGAGGGGGGCUGCUCCUAGUACGAGAGGACCGGAGUGGACGCAUCACUGGUGUUCGGGUUGUCAUGCCAAUGGCACUGCCCGGUAGCUAAAUGCGGAAGAGAUAAGUGCUGAAAGCAUCUAAGCACGAAACUUGCCCCGAGAUGAGUUCUCCCUGACCCUUUAAGGGUCCUGAAGGAACGUUGAAGACGACGACGUUGAUAGGCCGGGUGUGUAAGCGCAGCGAUGCGUUGAGCUAACCGGUACUAAUGAACCGUGAGGCUUAACCUU